AUUCCAGCUCCAAUAGCGUAUAUUAAUGUUGUUGCAGUUAAAAAGCUCGUAGUCGGAUUUUUGUGUCAUGUCGAACUGUCUGCCGAUUGGUUUGUACGGUUUGACGGGCAUAUUCCUUCCAGAGGCUCCGUGAGGCCUUCAUUGGUUUCGCGGUUGAAUCUGGGUCUUUUACUUUGAAAAAAUUAGAGUGUUCAAAGCAGGCCUAUGCUCGAAUAGGUUAGCAUGGAAUAAUAGAAUAGGACUUCGGUCUUAUUUUGUUGGUUUCUAGGACCGAGGUAAUGAUUAACAGGGACAGUUGGGGGCACUCAUAUUCCAUUGUCAGAGGUGAAAUUCUUGGAUUAACGGAAGAUGAACUUCUGCGAAAGCAUCUGCCAAGGAUGUUUUCAUCA
rnacentral:rRNA from 1 species